rnacentral:snRNA from 1 species
AUCGCUUCUCGGCCUUUUGGCUAAGAUCAAGUGUAGUAUCUGUUCUUAUCAGUUUAAUAUCUGAUACGUCCCCUACCCGUCCAAACUCCAAACUCAGGAGACAUCUGUCUCCUGAGUUUGGAUUUGAGCCUCU